rnacentral:lncRNA from 1 species
ACAAUACGAGUCUUAUUGAAUAGCUCAUCUUGCUUCAUUGGCAUCAUAAAGUUGUUUGGUGGCUUUGGUGAUUAUCCUCAUGGUACUAUUACUCGGGAUGAACUUGGAUACACAGAAUAACUUGGAUAUAGUACCUGACAGGGUGUGUCUUUGAUCAAUUGUUGUUCUCCUUAGCGACAAUGAUGAUGAGAAGACAAUGGCUUCAGACACAUGCCAUUGCCUUCUCAUCAUAAUUGUCGCUAAUGAGAACAACAAUUAAAGACCCACAAAAGUUCAAUUCAUACACAAAAAUUUUAAUUCAUAUCCUAAAGGUUCAAUUCAUAUCCUAAAGGUUCAACUCAUAUCUACAAAAGUUCAAUUCAUACACAAAAAUUUCAAUUCAUAUCCUAAAGGUUUAAUUCAUAUCCUAAAGGUUCAACUCAUAUCCACAAAAGUUCAAUUCAUAUCCUAAAAUUUCAAUUUAUAAACUAAAAUUCCAAUACAUAAACUAAAAGUCCAAUUCAUAUCCUAAAGGUUCAACUCAUAUCUCAAAAGUU